rnacentral:lncRNA from 1 species
UCAAAACGAGAGGCAAAGAGGUUGAUUGCAGCUUUAUUGAGGGAGAAACUUGGGUUGCUUUUGUUGAGCAAAAAUCCAAAGUCAGGGAGAUUUCUUUCCUUAAAAGUUGAUGAUAAAAUCAAGCCUUCUUGUCCCCUCAAAGACAUGGGUGAAGUCAGAAAAGUUAUGAUGGUAAGAUUUGCUUGUUGGGUUGUAUUAAUGUGUAAGGUUGGUUGUGCAUUUGGAUUGACCUUCUGCUUAUCAUUCUGAAUUGCAUCCCAUGACUGGUGUAGGGGUUCAGAGGUCAACAGCACAUUUGCCAAUUCUAGGCCGCUGCUAAAUCUGUCAUCAAAAAAUCAAACCAAAAAACAGGGAGUAAGAUAUGGGGUUAAUUUAGCAACUAACUUUGUUAAAUUUUUACUAUAAAAAGGAAAAAGAACAUUGAACUUUACUUACAUAUUGCUCAUCUUCUUCUUGUAGCUUUUUCAGAUCUGUUAACAAACACAGUAGAGGAGAAUGAAAACCAGGAUGGUUGAUGUCUUUAUUAUAUACAGGGAAAUGAAUUGCUAUGCCUCCUCCAAUCAAAUGGCCCCACGGCGACGAAACUUUCCACCAAGUCUACAAAAUAAAGCAUAAGUCUACGUCUUCGUCAACGUCGAGUUUAUUCUUGAAAGCUUCUCCGAAGAGCUUAAGCAAAUGGCCAUACUUUUUCUUCAGAAUUCACCAACUAUCAUUAUAAUAUGGGCUUAACUUUUCAUUUGCCCUUAAACUUGUAGUUAACUUUAGAUUUACUUCAUAUUCUUUUUUUAUUCAUAAGAAAUUAAAAAUAUGAACUUUUUUUUCCUCCAAUUUUUCCAUGCCGUCUAAAUCAUUAACAUUUCAUCAAUUUUUUUGUUAAAUUAUUAAAAAUAAUUUAUUUUAUUUAGAAAAAAAUUAAAGAAAAAGAGAACAAAACAAAAACAAAAAAAGAAACCCAUAACCAGGAAACACCAAGUGUAUAGCUUCCUCUGAAUAAAGUAUUCACCUGCAGAAAUUGCUAAAAUUACACUGUUCAGAAUUUUAGAGUACCAAUUUAACAUGGCUUGCAGCAUGAAAACUUAUAGUUUAGAUUCAAUACCAGGAAUUCACGAAUGAAUACUGAGAAAACACCAGUGGCUAGAAUUUUAGCAAAGUAAUUGAUUCUUCUUCCAUAUAACUCUUUCCACAAUGCUUUGAUGAACCGAUAUUCACUAAAGAUUUGUGUCCACAGAAAUACUGUCAUUGAUGUGUAUGCAUGGUAAAGAGGAGGUGAAUGCUCCUUAAACAGUAUAAUACAAAGUAGUCCCAGAAAAAGGCAUCCACAAAGUUGUACCUACAGUAAAUAAUGAGAUUCAUGAGUUAUGUUGAAUAGAUAGAGAAUAUAAAAACCCUUUAUAGACAUCCAAAUCUCAUAUAUUCCCAAACUUCUACUUUAGCUCCUUUUUUUCUUUAAAAAAAAUCUGUAUUUGUAAACUCCUUCCUUCAAUUUGAAAACCACUAUUAAAGCUUACAAGAGGUCAAGCUUACACAAACAUUACUUUUCUGGUAUUAUCUGUCUGGUGAUCUGCUUGCUCCUUUCUAAACAUAUGCCCUGCCAAUGAAGUAUAAGAUUGCAGCCCUGCAUAUGGAGAACAAUAUAGGUCAUCCAACCAAUAUACCCAAGAAUAAUUACAGUCAUGAGCAUCAGCCAAUCGUAUGUUUGAAAAUAGUAAAGAGUAUAGCCAAGCGGCUAUACUAUUUAAAUAUUCAAAAAUAUUUAAAAAUUUAAAAAUAUUUAAUAAAUAUAACCACGCUGCGAUACUCUUUAAAUAUAUUUUAAUAUAUUUACAUUUCCUUCUAUGGAGGCUGAGCCCCGGGCAGAGCGGUAGAAAUUUAUAUGACUCGUAUGAUCUCCGAGCUGUGGCUCACUAACUUAACAAAGCCGUUCAUCCUUCAAUUCACGCUUCUACACACAAGGCUUGAGUCGCAAUUUCAAACAAAGUGUCAAGACACCCAAAAGAAUUUUGUGCCCGCAGCAGUCUUGUAUGGCCACUACCGGCGACAAAAAGCCGAGCACAAGGCCUCCCGGGGCAGCUUGUGACGGCAUGGAGGAAAGUGAAGUAAGGAUUUCUCAAGACAAGCCAAGGAAUGACUGAUUUCAAGUCCUCUCCCCUCCCCAACUUGCCUGCAGUUUGAUCAACUUUGUAUGGCAUAAUUAAGCAUAGUAUCUAUUCUAGCCUGCCAUCAAAACCGAGCCGAGCAUGUAAUUUGAUACCCAACUGCAAGCCUUGUAAUAUAUGAUUUACUCAAUCCAAACAUCCUUAUAAAUCAAAGCUGUAAAAUGCUAAGACAAUGCAUAGCAGUUGGUCUUAGUCCGUUAUGGACAAAACUGUGUGAAGUUCCCUUUCUAUUGAUGUUGAACAAGGUUCAUUUACAACCAUGCUCCAACUAGAAGCAUCCUAUUCCUAUUAAAACCACAUAAAAGAAAGAUUCAUGUGGUGAUAUGGUGGUAUGGUAUACAACAUGUCAACAUUUCUGAAAGAAAGAAAAGGAAGACACAAUCAAAACUUUGAUGACUAAUCUAAGCAGUAAGCAGCAAGCAGCAAGCAGCAAGAGGAAACUUCUAAGUCAGCCUCAGCGCCAUUUCUUGAAAUGGCCCAUUGGCCCUUCUCUUUUUUUCUGUUUGUUAAAUCUUAAAUAGCAGUGAUCUAGUUGUAUUUAUGAAUCGAUGCAUCCAGGGGUGUAUCAUUAGCGCUGGAGUUGACAUGGUCAAUACUCACCCCAUUCCACCUAAUAAUCUUCAAAUAGACAUGAGUUGAGAGUUUGGUGAGUUGACUAAGAGAGUGUGUCUACUCUCGUACACUCGAGAUAGAUCCUCCUCCCAUACAUUUGAAUCAUUUUAAUUAUCACUUUGUCAAGAGAAAAUUAUAAUAAUCUUCAAAUACACCAUAAUCUUCAAAAAGCUUUUCGGAGAUGUGCAUCAUGCAUAUGCAUGAUGGUCCCAUCUAAGCUGGGUUUGUUCCCAUAUAUAAAUACAUAUAUGUAUUUGCUAAAUUUUGGUAUCCAUGACAACAUCCAAGUUAAUUAACAACAGCUCAUCCAUACACCAGAGACAUGUACACAACACAACUUACAGCUACAACUUCUUUACUAGUUACAAGCUUUUCUUUUGUAAAUUCAUCUGCAAGAUUAAUAAAACUUAAAACAAGCUACAAAGUUCUGCUAAUUCCAAGAUUGGCAGCAAAACCCAAUUUGCAAUACCCUUACAAAGCAACAAAGCCACCAACACAGGUUUAUUCAACCACCAAAGCCUACUAGGAAAGGAAAAAGAAAAUACAAAAGGAAGCACACCAAGAAGGCACAAAUUUCAACAUGCUCCAUCCGGUUGGCAUAUAAAACUUAUUCAUUGGAUUAUAGAGGUUCGAAAACCACCUUCACCCCUUUCUCAUAAUGGCGGUACGUGCCAUCCGUCAUGAUACGACCCAGCUGUGUUGAGCUUCGCACAAUUUUAUUAUACUGCUUCCACCAUGCCAUAAAGCUGCUAUACUUCAAGAAAAUAUCAGGGGUUACUGCAAAAUUCUUGAGGGCAUCCAACACAUACUUCUCAAACUCUAUCAACUUUUGCUUGCAUUGUUCCCUUUCUUGAAAACUCGGUUGUCCCUUCUCCAGCUGAUUGCAUAAGAUAAGAGCCUCCUCAACAUGUGCCCAAAAACAAGAAUCAUCAGUCAGACUAGAAGCCACGUUCUGUGCUUUUGACUUGCUUGGACCGUCUUCAACUGUUUCCCCUCUUCUAAUUCUCUCUGCUACCUUCCUUUCCUCCUCUUCCUCGAACCAUUUCUCCAACAGAAUGAAAUGCUUAGGCCUUUCCUCAAUGUAGUUUUUCCCAUCCUUGUCCUUGUAGUACUCUGCAAUGUGAAGUGGUUCCAUCAUCCUUCUGUAGUUUGUACCUCCCAUAAGCCAACGGGUUCGUAAGGCAGCUCCUUCUUUCUGGGGCCUAUUCUCUACUUCUUCAACCAAGUCCUGCCAGUAAUUCGACAGCUUCUUCUUAAACUCUUGGACGUUGAAGUCAGCCCUGUUAUGCUUGUUUUUGUACACGUCAUAGUAUCCAAUUUCCCUAUCUUUUGACUCCUUCUUGUACCACUCAAGGUAGGCCAUGUUCACUUUCAUAUCAUUAAUUUUCUUGGCGGCAUUGGAAGCCCUCGUCUUCUGUAUUGCUAAUUUAUAUUCAUGUGUUUCCAUCUUCUUUAUCAGACUAUUGAGUUGUUUCUGUUGCAAUGCCUUUUUUACAAAGGAGCAGAGAAGGAAUUAGUAGAAGUAAAAUUUAACAACGGGGAAUAUUUCUAACAUUCUUUUGCAAAUAAUGUAUGUGUUGUAGGCUUAUAGGAUGAAAACAUAAAACAUUAUCAAAUCACAUAUUUGCAUUGAAACUUUGCUACCUGUGAUGGGGGAACUCCAAAUAUUGCUGCCAGUUGUGUGAUAAUGCUAGCUUUAAGUGGAACUCUAUCGCUUUCAGCCAACUCAAAGACAUCUUUACAAAAUGCCUUGAGCUUGAGACGUUCCAAGAGCUGUCCAUAAUCAAAAAACUGAAUCCCCACAUUAGGAUAUUGGGUCUGAUCACCCUGAGAGUUGGCUGCCACCAACUCCAAAAUCAAAUCUGGGUCCUCAAAGCAAGCACAACCAGAAUCAGAGCACAACAGGAAUGUUCCAAAAGGCUUAUAAGCACCAACUUUAGUACCGGUUCCAAGAGCAGUUGGAUUUGGGGAUAGGAAGAGUUUAGGUACAGGAUCUUGGAUAGAGGCUACAUGCAAGAAGCAAGAAGUCCAUGCUGAGAAUUGUGAAACACAUUUUCGGAAGUGUUCGUCACCAAUAAGGGGUGAACUGAAAGUAAUGCAAAGGGGGCGUUUGGCUUUUGAUAAGUUGAGGCUUUCUAGCAGCCAUAAGGUGAAGAGCGUAGCCACACAGCCUCCCAUAGAGUAUCCAGUGAUAAUUACUAAUGAAUUUGAUCUGCUAAUCUGUGCCACAAACAUUAUCAAAAGUUACAUAUAUACAAACUAGUCACGUACUCAAUUGCAAUAUAGUUUGUCAAAUUAAUUAUGACAACGAAAAACUCCAUUACUUUAAAUGGUCAAACAAACAAAAUAGGAAACUCUAUCAGAUUACUAUAGACUUUCUCUAAGGUUUCUCCAAAUUCACAAGUUGUCAAAAGUAGAAAUGAUGAGUUUAAGGAAAGACAAAAAACAGAAGGAAAGAGAGAGAAGGAACGAACCUCAGUUUUCAGAAGACAGAGCUCAUCAAAACGAGAGGCAAAGAGCUUGAUUGCAGCUUCAUUGAGGGAGAAACUUGGGUUGCUUUUGUUGAGCAAAAAUCCAAAGUCAGGGAGAUUUCUUUCCUUAAAAGUUGAUGAUAAAAUCAAGCCUUCUUGUCCCCUCAAAGACAUGGGUGAAGUCAGAAAAGUUAUGAUGGUAAGAUUUGCUUGUUGGGUUGUAUUAAUGUGUAAGGUUGGUUGUGCAUUUGGAUUGACCUUCUGCUUAUCAUUCUGAAUUGCAUCCCAUGACUGGUGUAGGGGUUCAGAGGUCAACAGCACAUUUGCCAAUUCUAGGCCGCUGCUAAAUCUGUCAUCAAAAAAUCAAACCAAAAAACAGGGAGUAAGAUAUGGUGUUAAUUUAGCAACUAACUUCGUUAAAUUUUUACUAUAAAAAGAAAAAAAAAUUAUUGAGAAAGAAAGAAAAAGAACAUUGAACUUUACUUACU